rnacentral:rRNA from 1 species
GGAUACCGUAGGUUUUACUUUUUAUUUAGUUUAAUUAAGAGGGAAGUGAUGAAAAUAUUAUAUAACUAACUGUAGAGGGGAAGCUACAGUUAAUUAUUUAUAGUAUAAAAUUCAUUUAUUGUACCUUUUGUACCAGGGUUGAUUUACAUUUAUGUUUAAGAAUUUUUUCUCGAAAAAGAAAGAUUUAAAGAUAUAUUAUUUUAAUGUUUCAUUAUUAAGUUAAAUAUAUGUUUAGUUUUGAAAAAAAACGAGAUUUCUUUUAUCUGGUUACUUUUUAUUUGAUUAAAUCAGAUUUAUUUAAGUAAUUGAUUUUAUUUGUAUAAAAAAUAUUUUUGGGGAUAAGCUUGAAAAUAAAAUUUUAGCUGGUUUCAACUGAUAUUUAUAUAGGUUUAGAGUUAGCAAGUUUUUUAAUAUUUAAUAAUUAAUUUAACUUUUUUAAUAAUUUAAGAGUAGCUUUAAGGGGAAGUAAAGUUACUUAAUUUAAUUUAAAAGUUAAGAUAAUUAUGAUUAAAUUAGUAGAAUAACAAAAUGUAGUUUAAGAAUUCGGCAAAAAUAGUGUUUGACUGUUUAACAAAAACAUUUCUGAGGGGAAAAUGUUUUUGGUAUAACCUGCUCAAUGCUUAUUGUAAAUAGCUGCAGUAUUUUGACUGUACAAAGGUAGCAUAAUCAUUAGUCUUUUGAUUGAAGGCUUGUAUGAAAGGUUGAACAGAAUUCUAACUUUUUUGGCUAUAUGAAAUUUGAAUUUAUUGUUUAUGUUAAAAUACAUAUUUGUUUAAAAGGGACGAUAAGACCCUGUAGAAUUUUAAAGUAUACUUGAAAUUUAAACUUUUUUAUUGGGGUGAUAGUAAAUAAACUUUUACAUUGGUUUCAUUGAUGAAUGAGUGGUUGAUCCUAAUAUUUUAGAAAAGAAGAUAAAAUUACCUAAGGGAUAACAGCAUAAUUUUUUUUAAAAGAUCUUAUUAAUAAAAAAGAUUAUGACCUCGAUGUUGAAUUAAAAUAAGAAUUUGGUGUAGAAGCUGUUUUUUUUAGUCUGUUCGACUUUAUAUUUUACAUGAUUUGAGUUCAGACCGGUGUGAGCCAGGUUGGUUUCUAUCUUUUUAUCUAGUAAGUAUAAUUUAGUACGAAAGGAUCAAUUAAACUAAUUUUUAUUAUAUAAUUUGAAUAAAAUUAACAUUAA